rnacentral:rRNA from 1 species
UGAGUACGAGAUGCUACGGCAUUGAAGCAGUCUAUGUCAUACUUCCAAGAAAAGCUUGCACUGUCAUAAACAAAGAAUGCCUGUACCAUAACCGACACAGGUGGGUAGGUAGAGUAUACUAAGGGGCGCGAGAUAACUCUCUCUAAGGAACUCGGCAAAAUGACUCCGUAACUUCGGGAGAAGGAGUGCCUUAUUUUUAAGGUUGCAAUAACAAGAUCCAAGCAACUGUUUAUCAAAAACACAGGUCUCCGCUAAGUCGUAAGACGAUGUAUGGGGGCUGACGCCUGCCCAGUGCCAGAAGGUUAAAGAAGUUGGUUAGCAUUCGCGAAGCUGAUAACUGAAGCCCUGGUGAACGGCGGCCGUAACAAUAACGGUCCUAAGGUAGCGAAAUUCCUUGUCGGGUAAGUUCCGACCCGCACGAAAGGCGUAAUGAUUUGGAUACUGUCUCGGAGAGGGACUCGGUGAAAUAGACUUGUCUGUGAAGAUGCGGACUACCUGCACCUGGACAGAAAGACCCUAUGAAGCUUUACUGUAACUUGAAAUUGAAAUUGGACUUUAGUUGCGCAGGAUAGGUGGGAGGCGCUGAGAAUAUUCUUGCGGGAGUAUUGGAGCCAUCAGUGAGAUACCACUCUUCUAAUGUUAGAUUUCUAACUUUGUAUCAUUAUCUGGUCAAAGAACAGUUUCAGGCGGGCAGUUUGACUGGGGCGGUCGCCUCCUAAAGGGUAACGGAGGCGCACAAAGGUUUCCUCUGAACGAGUAGAAAUCGUAUCUAGAGUGUAAAGGCAUAAGGAAGCUUGACUGUGAGACCUACAAGUCGAGCAGGGACGAAAGUCGGUCUUAGUGAUCUGACGGUGCCGAGUGGAAAGGCCGUCACUCAACGGAUAAAAGUUACUCUAGGAUAACAGGCUGAUCUCCCCCAAGAGUUCACAUCGACGGGGAGGUUUGGCACCUCGAUGUCGGCUCAUCGCAUCCUGGGGCGGUAGUACGUCCCAAGGGUUGGGCUGUUCGCCCAUGAAAGCGGUACGCGAGCUGGGUUCAGAACGUCGUGAGACAGUUCGGUCCAUAUCCGGUGUAGGCGUUAGAAUAUUGAGAGGAGCCUUCUCUAGUACGAGAGGACCGAGAAGGACAUACCUCUAGUGUACCAGUUAUCGUGCCAACGGUAAACGCUGGGUAGCUAUGUAUGGAGUGGAUAACCGCUGAAAGCAUCUAAGUGGGAAGCCCACCUCAAGAUAAGUAUUCU